rnacentral:rRNA from 1 species
UACGUAGGGGGCAAGCGUUGUCCGGAUUUAUUGGGCGUAAAGAGCGUGUAGGCGGUUCGGUAGGUCCGUUGUGAAAACUCGAGGCUCAACCUCGAGACGCCGAUGGAAACCCCCGAACUAGAGUCCGGAAGAGGAGAGUGGAAUUCCGAGUGUAGAGGUGAAAUUCGUAGAUAUUCGGAGGAACACCAGUGGCGAAGGCGGCUCACUGGUCCGGUACUGACGCUGAGGUGCGAAAGCGUGGGGAGCAAACAGG